ACCCACCGCCGCUGCCGCCGC
rnacentral:miRNA from 1 species